GCCUGGGUGGCUCUUGGUUGGGCGUCUGACUUCGGCUCAGGUCACGAUCUCGCAGUUCGUGGGUUCGAGCCCCGCGUCGGGCU
rnacentral:tRNA from 1 species